GUGAAAACUCUUAAGCAUUAAGAUAGAAACCCGCAUUCGGAAUUGAUAACUGCAUAAUUGAUAAAAGUAGGUUAGAAUUGACGGGUGUAGGUUUGAAAGGCGGGGGAUUCCGGAGGAACACAGGGGGAGAGGUGACCCCGUGGACAAAGGACUUGCCCUCUUUUGCGAAAUUGUUGGGCGCAAAGCUGAUAAGAGACCCCUGUAUUUCUUGCUGACAACAAUGUCAAACUUAAAGGUGGUAGCUUUUGAGUUAUAGGCUAUGGCUGCUAACACGUUAAAUUAACUGCUGGGGGAGGUACGGGCGCAAGGGCUAUAACUCAAAUGAUAUGACAGGGCUCCGCACUUCGCGAGUAGAGCAUGUGGUGUAAUUGGAUGCUACGCGAAAUAGCAUGCCUAUGCUUGACCUCCAUAGAAUUAAACAGUAAUGUCUUACUGCCUGAGUGAUCUUUGUAACAGGUGCUGCAUGGCUGUCGUCAGCUCGUUUUUAGAAUUGUUGGGUUAAGUCCCGGUAAGAACGCAACCCCUAUCAAUUGUUGCCAUCGAGUACAGUCGGGACCGCAAAGGAGACUGCUGGUGAUGAUUCGGAGGAAGGUGAGGACGACGUCAAGUCAUCAUUGCCCUUACGAAUAGGGCUACAAUCGUGCUACAAUGGCAUAUACAAAGAGAAGCGAUCUUGCAAAAGCUAGCAAAUCUCAUAAAGUAUGUCGUAGUUCGGAUUGGAGUCUGCAACUCGACUCCAUGAAGUCGGAAUCGCUAGUAAUCCAAGGUCAGAAUGCUACGGUGAAUACGUUCCCGGCCCUCCCGAUCGGCCGCCCGUC
rnacentral:rRNA from 1 species